GCCUCCUUAGCUCAGUUGGUAGAGCGUGAGACUUUUAAUCUUAAGCACAGGUCAUUCGUGGGUAGAUCCGUUUAGGAUGAG